rnacentral:misc_RNA from 1 species
GAUGAAGAACGUAGCGAAAUGCGAUAAGUAAUGCGAAUUGCAGAAUUUCCGUGAGUCAUCGAAUCUUUGAACGCACAUUGCGCCCACUGGUAUUCCGGUGGGCAUGCCUGUUCGAGCGUCAUUAUCCUCCCUCAAACCCCGGGUUUGGUGUUGGACCCAAGUUGUGUGAACAACUGGUCUCAAAGACAAUGACGGCGUCCGUGGGACCCUCGGUGCAACGAGCUUUUAGGAGCACGCAUCGAGUUGCAAGGACCUUCCGGGCCGGUCUCCUUUACCAUUUUACAAGGUUGACCUCGGAUCAGGUAGGAAUACCCGCUGAACUUAAGCAUAUUAAUAAGCGGAGGA